AGUAUUCGCUCUUUUAGUACCCACCGAUACUAUGGACUGAACCCUCUCGUACUUUUCAUUAUAAAAAAAAAAAAAUAACCCGACGGACACUUGAGCGUAUUAGCGCUGCUAGACGCUAGCGUCGCCACCGCUAAACGCUAACACCAGGCGCCGUGCAAUACAGUGUCAGCCUAAUUCUGAUGAACAUUUGAUGAGAACACAUGUGGGUAAUGGCAGUGGACAUCAAGUGAUGAGCAGAUCCACAACUCUGCCUUGGAUGUCACCAACUUUUGACAAAAAAAAAACUGAGGACGUCAAACCAGAAUGCUGAAACUAUCACAACAACGUGCCUUUGCUAUUCAAGUAUUCAUUCACCGUAGUUCUCACACAUUCAUGCUUACAACUAAUCUUGAAAAAAAAAAAAACAAACUUACAAAAAAAUAUAAAGAUAUAUUUUGCAGGAUUUUGUUUCUUGGAAAAAAAACAGUUUUAUUAAUUUUUUCUGUAUUUUUUUCAAGAUUUCUUUCUAUGAGUGUUUAUUCUUGUAAUCUUUUUUCGGUAAUAAAAUAUGACUUUUCGGCAA